GACGAACGCUGGCGGCGUGCUUAACACAUGCAAGUCGAACGGAAAGGCCCUGCUUUUGUGGGGUGCUCGAGUGGCGAACGGGUGAGUAACACGUGAGUAACCUGCCCUUGACUUUGGGAUAACUUCGGGAAACUGGGGCUAAUACCGGAUAGGAGCUCCUGCUGCAUGGUGGGGGGUGGAAAGUUUCGGCGGUUGGGGAUGGACUCGCGGCUUAUCAGCUUGUUGGUGGGGUAGUGGCUUACCAAGGCUCUGACGGGUAGCCGGCCUGAGAGGGUGACCGGCCACAUUGGGACUGAGAUACGGCCCAGACUCCUACGGGAGGCAGCAGUGGGGAAUAUUGCACAAUGGGCGGAAGCCUGAUGCAGCAACGUCGCGUGCGGGAUGACGGCCUUCGGGUUGUAAACCGCUUUCGCCUGUGACGAAGCGUGAGUGACGGUAAUGGGUAAAGAAGCACCGGCUAACUACGUG
rnacentral:rRNA from 1 species